ensembl:lncRNA
UGGCAGCCCACCAGGCUCCCCUGUCCCUGGGAUUCUCCAGGCAAGAACACUGGAGUGGGUGGCCGUUUCCUUCUCCAAUGCAUGAAAGGGAAAAGUGAAAGUGAAGUCACUCAGUUGUGUUCGACUCUUAGCGACCCCAUGGACUGCAGUGCACCAGGCUCUUCUAUCCAUGGGAUUUUCCAGGGUGAUCUUUGCCCUAGCUGUGCUUCUGAGCAGUUCUCUGGUAAACAACAGCAUGAGCACCAUCAACAAUGAUGCACUGGAGAAACUGCACUAUGUGUCAGAGCUCACAGAAAUCACC